AUUGAACGCUGGCGGCAUGCUUUACACAUGCAAGUCGAACGGUAACAGGGUGCUUGCACCGCUGACGAGUGGCGAGCGGGUGAGUAAUGCGUCGGAACGUGCCGAGUAGUGGGGGAUAACGCAGCGAAAGUUGUGCUAAUACCGCAUACGUACUGAGGUAGAAAGUGGGGGACCUUCGGGCCUCACGCUAUUCGAGCGGCCGACGUCUGAUUAGCUAGUAGGUGAGGUAAAGGCUCACCUAGGCGACGAUCAGUAGCGGGUCUGAGAGGAUGAUCCGCCACACUGGGACUGAGACACGGCCCAGACUCCUACGGGAGGCAGCAGUGGGGAAUUUUGGACAAUGGGCGAAAGCCUGAUCCAGCCAUGCCGCGUGUCUGAAGAAGGCCUUCGGGUUGUAAAGGACUUUUGUCGGGGAGGAAAUCCCUAGCGUUAAUACCGCUGGGGGAUGACAGUACCUGAAGAAUAAGCACCGGCUAACUACGUGCCAGCAGCCGCCGUAAAAC
rnacentral:rRNA from 1 species